rnacentral:rRNA from 1 species
UACGUAGGGUGCGAGCGUUGUCCGGAAUUAUUGGGCGUAAAGAGCUCGUAGGCGGCUUGUCGCGUCGGAUGUGAAAGCCCGGGGCUUAACUCCGGGUCUGCAUUCGAUACGGGCAGGCUAGAGUUCGGUAGGGGAGAUCGGAAUUCCUGGUGUAGCGGUGAAAUGCGCAGAUAUCAGGAGGAACACCGGUGGCGAAGGCGGGUCUCUGGGCUGACACUGACGCUCAUGCACGAAAGCGUGGGGAGCAAACAGG